rnacentral:miRNA from 1 species
GUGGAAAAGUAAUUGCAGUUUUUGUCAUUUAAAAAGUAAUGGCAAAAACUGCAAUUACUUU